AAGUAAAAGGGGAAAUCGAUGCGAUAUGAGUUGUGAAAACUCGAAAAGGUGGGGCUCUUCAGAUCAACGAUCGUCAGUGCUUUCGCGUUUUUACUGUCGUGUGGACUGUUUCGAGCGCUCAGAUAGUUCGAAUUUUGUAGCAAAUUUCUGUUAACUGUUUUCCUGUGUGUAAGCAAAUAAAAAAAACUACAUCAACAUGGACGCCAUCAAGAAGAAGAUGCAAGCUAUGAAGCUUGAAAAAGAUAAUGCUCAGGACAAGGCUGAUACCUGUGAGGGACAGGCUAAAGAUGCCAACCUUCGUGCCGAUAAAGUCCUUGAAGAAGUUCGCGAUUGCGAAAAGAAAUUGGUUCAAGUUGAAAUUGAUUUGACCAAUUCAAAGAACCAAUUGGAAUUGGCCAACCAAGAAUUGGAAGAAAAAGAAAAGACCCUCACCGCUACCGAAUCUGAAGUUGCCACUUUGAACCGUAAAGUUCAACAAAUUGAAGAAGAUUUGGAAAAAUCCGAAGAACGCUCAGGCAGCGCACAACAAAAAUUGUUGGAAGCCACCCAAUCGGCUGAUGAAAACAACCGUAUGUGCAAAGUACUUGAAAACCGUUCACAACAAGACGAAGAACGUAUGGAUCAAUUGACCAACCAAUUGAAAGAAGCUCGUCUCCUUGCUGAAGAUGCUGACGGCAAAUCCGAUGAAGUCUCACGUAAAUUGGCCUUCGUUGAAGAUGAAUUAGAAGUCGCUGAAGACCGUGUCAAAUCAGGAGAAGCCAAGAUCAUGGAACUCGAAGAAGAAUUGAAGGUCGUCGGAAACUCGCUCAAAUCAUUGGAAGUUUCGGAAGAAAAAGCCAAUCAACGAGUGGAAGAAUUCAAACGUGAAAUGAAAACUCUUACUGUGCGCCUCAAGGAAGCCGAGAACCGCGCUGAAAGCGCUGAAAAGCAAGUCAAGAGACUUCAAAAAGAAGUCGACAGACUGGAAGAUCGUCUGUUCCACGAAAAAGAAAAAUACAAAGCAAUUUGCGACGAUUUGGAUUCAACAUUUGCAGAGCUUACUGGAUAUUAAAUUGUCCAGAGCUUUAUAUGUUAUUUUUUAUGAAAUUUCCCAUUACCUAUCCGUUGAUUGAUCCAAAUACCAAUUUUCCUUGUAAAAUUUCCAUCAUUUUUAAUUCGAAUUUAUACUAUGUACUGUGUUUUUCAUACAUCCAGUCUCCAAUAUGAACAUAUAGUUUGCAUAUGCUUAUUUUUCCCAUACUAGAUUUCUCAUCGUGAACAGACAUUUUUGUAUUAUGACCUGAAAUAUUUUUUUCUUUCAAUAUUAACAUCUUAAUUUACUACUAACAUAUUACCAAUUCGAAUUAAACGAUGUAUUAUAGUCGCAAUAAGUGAUGAAUUGAAAAAAACCAAAUGUAAAAAGAGAAACCAACGCAAAAGAUAUGCAACACAACGCUGCUAAAAACAAUGUAAACAAUAACUAAUAGAUUUUACGCUUGGGCCUUUUGAUAAAAAAAUAUAUUUAAAAAAUGUUUCGGAGCCUCUGCAGCUGCUCAAAUAACCACCAAUGCAAACAUGAAUACAAUUCAAUCUAGCAAGACGAAUUGGGUCUCAACAAGGACCGCUACAAGAGUCUUGCCGACGAAAUGGACUCAACAUUCGCCGAAUUGGCUGGUUACUAAACAAUACCAAAAUCUCGUUUUGCUGCCAUUUUUUACCAUCCAAUGGCGAUGACUAUGACGUUUUCGAUAAAUAUCCUUCAUUCUUUUUCUGCCUACGAAUGAUCAAAAACAUCCAAGAAAAAGAACAUGUCAUCGUUUCAACAUUCACAAACACACUCACUUUAAAAUUGUCACAUUUUAAAUUUCAAAUUUUUUUGUAUUGCUUUGUAAUUUAUUGUAAAAUUUAUAACCGGAUUUUCAAUUAUACAUGUAUUUCAAAAACAAA